GUACGCUGGCGGCACGCCUAACACAUGCAAGUCGAACGAAGUAGCAAUACUUAGUGGCAGACGGGUGAGUAACAUGUGGGUAUCUGCCCUUUGGCCUGGAAUAACACGAGGAAACUUGUGCUAAUACCGGAUAAGUCUUUACGGAGAAAGCUUUAUGCACCAUUGGAUGAGCCCGCACUUGAUUAGUUUGUUGGUGGGGUAAUGGCCUACCAAGACUGUGAUCAAUAGCUGAUUUGAGAGGAUGAUCAGCCACAUUGGGACUGAGACACGGCCCAAACUCCUACGGGAGGCAGCAGUGGGGAAUCUUGCACAAUGGAGGAAACUCUGAUGCAGCGAUGCCGCGUGAGUGAGGAAGGCCCUUGGGUUGUAAAGCUCUUUUGUCGGGGAAGAAAAUGACUGUACCCGAAUAAGAAGGUCCGGCUAACUUCGUGCCAGCAGCCGCGGUAAUACGAAGGGACCUAGCGUAGUUCGGAAUUACUGGGCUUAAAGAGUUCGUAGGUGGUUGAAAUAGUUAGUGGUGAAAUCCCAGAGCUUAACUCUGGAACUGCCAUUAAAACUUUUCAGCUAGAGUAUGAUAGAGGAAAGCAGAAUUUCUAGUGUAGAGGUGAAAUUCGUAGAUAUUAGAAAGAAUACCAAUUGCGAAGGCAGCUUUCUGGAUCAUUACUGACACUGAGGAACGAAAGCAUGGGUAGCGAAGAGGAUUAGAUACCCUCGUAGUCCAUGCCGUAAACGAUGUGUGUUAGACGUUGGAAAUU
rnacentral:rRNA from 1 species